rnacentral:rRNA from 1 species
UACGGGGGGGGCAAGCGUUGUUCGGAAUUACUGGGCGUAAAGGGCUCGUAGGCGGCCAACUAAGUCGGACGUGAAAUCCCUCAGCUUAACUGGGGAACUGCGUCUGAUACUGGAUGGCUUGGAUUCGGGAGAGGGAUGCGGAAUUCCAGGUGUAGCGGUGAAAUGCGUAGAUAUCUGGAGGAACACCGGUGGCGAAGGCGGCAUCCUGGACCGAUAUUGACGCUGAGGAGCGAAAGCUAGGGGAGCAAACGGG